CCAGACCCUCAAAGCCAAUCCUUUUGGGGAUCAAACCCAUUGUCACGCAGAGGGAGGAGGAGAGCGCCACAGACUCAGGUUUUGAUUUUGACUACUGAAACUCACAUCUGCUUGCCCUUCAUGUGCAAGCCAGGGUUGUGAAAUUACUCACUCCACUCUGAUGUGUUAAAGAAAAUAGUCUCUCUUUUCUCUAAAUUACUCUGAUGUCCCUUUUGAGCCCUCACCUGCUGGGUAGCAGGAGGGAAAAGCUAAGUUUAGCUCAAUGGAUUUUUUUUUUUUUUAAA